AUGGCCUGGACUCCACUCCUCCCCACCCUCCUGGCUCACUGCACAGGGUCUUGUGCUGAGGUUGUGUUCACUCAGCCUCAUUCUGUGUUGGGGUCUCCAGGGCAGACAGUCACCAUCUCCUGCACCCACAGUAGUGGCAGCAUUGAUAGUAAAUAUGUGUAGUGCUACCAGCAGUGCCUGGGAAAGUGCCCCCACCACUGCAAUUAACAAUGUUAACCAAAGACCCUCUCGGGUCUCUGAUCAGUGUUCUGGAUCCAUUGAUAGCUCUAACUCUGCCUCCCUGACCAUCUCUGGGCUAAAGGCCGAGGAUGAGGCUACUACUGUCAGUCCUAUGAUGACAGCUACAAUCUCACAGUGCUCCAGAUCCAUGGGGAACAGCUGGAACCUCCCAGGGCCAGAAGAGGCUCCCCUAGCCCCACCCCACACUCAGCCUUCCCCAAGUUCAGGCCCAGGGACAGCACUGGAAACAGCAACAACAUUGGACGUUAUAAUGUGGGCUGGUACCAACAGAUUUCUCACGGUGCUCCCAAAACUGUGAUGCUUGGAAAUUCUCAGCCCUCAGGGAUCCCCGAGCACUUCUCUGGCUCAAAGUCUAGGACCAGAGCCUCCCUGACCAUCUCAGGCCUUCAGUCUGAGGACAAGGCUGAUUAUUACUGUUCGGCAUGGGACAACAGCUUCAGCGCUCACACAGUGCUGCAGACACGUGGGAAACCGAGACAAAAACCUACCCUUGGCCUGUCCUGA